rnacentral:rRNA from 1 species
UUACCAGACUCCUACGGGAGGCAGCAGUGAGGAAUAUUGGUCAAUGGACGCAAGUCUGAACCAGCCAUGCCGCGUGCAGGAUGACGGCUCUAUGAGUUGUAAACUGCUUUUGUACGAGGGUAAACCCCGAUACGUGUAUCGGGUUGAAAGUAUCGUACGAAUAAGGAUCGGCUAACUCCGUGCCAGCAGCCGCGGUAAUACGGAGGAUCCGAGCGUUAUCCGGAUUUAUUGGGUUUAAAGGGUGCGUAGGCGGUUUGAUAAGUUAGAGGUGAAAUGUCGGGGCUCAACCCCGAAACUGCCUCUAAUACUGUUGGACUAGAGAAUAGUUGCGGUAGGCGGAAUGUAUGGUGUAGCGGUGAAAUGCUUAGAGAUCACGAAGAACUCCGAUUGCGAAGACAGCUUACUAAACGGCCACUGACAUUGAUGCUCGAAAGUGUGGGGAUCAAACAGGAUUAGAUACCCCCGUACAA